AACUUUUAAAGGAUAGAAGUUAUCCGUUGGUCUUAGGAAUCAAAAAAUUGGUGCAACUCCAAAUAAAAGUUA
rnacentral:tRNA from 1 species